rnacentral:rRNA from 1 species
UACGGAGGGUGCAAGCGUUAUCCGGAUUCACUGGGUUUAAAGGGUGCGUAGGUGGGCAGGUAAGUCAGUGGUGAAAUCUCCGGGCUCAACUCGGAAACUGCCAUUGAUACUAUUAGUCUUGAAUAUUGUUGAGGUAGGCGGAACGGGUCAUGUAGCGGUGAAAUGCAUAGAUAUGACCCGGAACACCGAUUGCGAAGGCAGCCUACUAAGCAAUUAUUGACGCUGAGGCACGAAAGCGUGGGGAUCAAACAGG